CUUCUCAUGACCUGCUGACCUGCGGGGCUCUAGAGCAGGGUCCAGUCUCCACCACGCAGAUGGCCUUAGGAGUGCUGGGGUUGACCGUCCGCGGGUGCACUGCUUUCAGUUCAGUUCCGAGCUUCUGCUUCUUGCAGCCUUAAGCUGAGGACUUCCCUAGAGCCUGGUAAUAAAGUUAUGUAGGUGGAGUCCAAAAGAGGGCAUCAGAUCCCCCGGUGCUGGAGUUGUGGUCCUGAGAACCGAGUUCUGGUCUAGACUCAGAGAUCCGCCCACCUCAGAGGCGUGCCUGCCAUCCUUGCUUAUUACACCGCCGUUUACGUGCCUCAGGUGACAUUACCAGAAGGAGGAGGAAGGGGCAACAAAGACCGUACUUUCACUAUGCUGAAGGGCCAUCCUCCAUCACGGCCUCGCUGGCCAGUCCUUUAUGAAGGAGAUUUUAAAAUUCGAUAAAUAGUGUGUCCCCACAUGCACAAAAUGCUGUGCUUAGCUCACAAGGAACUGGGACUGAGAAUUUCUGGAAAUCAGUGUGUGUGUAUGUGUGUGUGUGUGUGUGUGUGUGUGUGUGUGUGUGAUUAGAGCUAUGGUGACCAAUACCUCAGGAAUUUCAACCGUCUAAGGCCUUUCUUGCCCACCCUGUCAGACUCAAGCUGUGACUGACAAAACCCUUUGGAAUGGGUCAAGUUAGCACAGUCGAGUUUCCACCAACCCAGAAGCUAAGAGUGUCAUCAGACUGCAGGUGAGGCCUGGACAGAGCUCUAGCUUUGCUGUGACCGCCCGACACCCACAUCAAUGUGUCUGUAAAGGGUCUUAAUUCUGUUGUUCUGUGACUAGGAAAACUUCAUGACACUGUAAACGGCUUCCAUGUUGAUCAUGGAACUGGGGUAACCAGAGUCUGUUCCUAGACAGUCUCUCUCAUUUGGCUCCAGAAUAAACUCUGUGUCAUCUCCUUGAGGUGAGAACUA